rnacentral:rRNA from 1 species
GUGCCAGCCGCCGCGGUAAUACCGGCAGCUCGAGUGAUGUCCAAUAUUAUUGGGCCUAAAGCGUCCGUAGCUGGCCGCGCAAGUCCAUCGGGAAAUCCACCUGCUCAACAGGUGGGCGCCCGGUGGAAACUGUGCGGCUUGGGACCGGAAGGCGCGACGGGUACGUCCGGGGUAGGAGUGAGAUCCCGUAAUCCUGGACGGACCGCCGAUGGCGAAAGCACUUCGAGAAAACGGAUCCGACAGUGAGGGACGAAAACCAGGGUCUCCAACCGGAUUAGAUACCCCUGUAGUCC